rnacentral:rRNA from 1 species
GAUGAACGCUAGCUGGAGGCUUAAUACAUGCAAGUCGAGCGGGAUUGGUAGCAAUACCAUGAGAGCGGCGCACGGGUGAGUAACGCGUACACGACCUACCUCUGACAGGGGGAUAGCCCUGGGAAACUGGGAUUAAUACCGCAUAUUAUUCUGAUUAAUAAAGGAUUGGAAUGAAAGUUCAGGCGGUCAGAGAUGGGUGUGCGUCUGAUUAGCUAGUUGGUAGGGUAACGGCCUACCAAGGCGAUGAUCAGUAGGGGGCGUGAGAGCGUGGUCCCCCACACGGGUACUGAGACACGGACCCGACUCCUACGGGAGGCAGCAGUAAGGAAUAUUGGACAAUGGCCGCAAGGCUGAUCCAGCCAUCCAGCGUGCAGGAAGAAGGCCCUAUGGGUUGUAAACUGCUUUUAUCAGGGAAGAAACCUCUGGAUUUACUCCGGAGCUGACGGUACCUGAAGAAUAAGCACCGGCUAACUCCGUGCCAGCCGCCGCUGUAAUAC